UUACUAAAGAGUUUGAUUCUGGCUCAGGACGAACGCUGGCGGCACGCCUAACACAUGCAAGUCGAGCGGAGUGUAUUUCACAGAGUUAAUAACGAGUUGGUGAGAGAGUUGUGAUAAAAAGGUUGCGACAACUGAAGAUAUUACAAAAGACAUCAACAGGGCAAUAACCGAAACAACGAUGAAAAUUGUUGAAAAGUUGCUGUGAAAAGAGUUAUUAAUUGUGUGAGAUGCACUUAGCGGCGGACGGGUGAGUAACGCGUGAGUAACCUGCCCUUCGGAGUGGAAUAGCGUUUGGAAACGAACGGUAAUACCGCAUAACAUUAUGAUAUGGCAUCAUAUUAUAAUCAAAGAUUUAUCGCCGAAGGAUGGACUCGCGUCUGAUUAGAUAGUUGGUGAGGUAACGGCUCACCAAGUCGACGAUCAGUAGCCGGACUGAGAGGUUGAACGGCCACAUUGGGAC
rnacentral:rRNA from 1 species